UACGAAGGGUGCAAACGUUGCUCGGAAUUACUGGGCGUAAAGCGCACGUAGGCGGCUUUGCAAGUCCCAUGUGAAAUCCCACGGCUCAACCGUGGAAGUGCAUGUGAAACUGCAGAGCUUGAGUACUUAAGAGGAUCGCGGAAUUCCCGGUGUAGAGGUGAAAUUCGUAGAUAUCGGGAGGAACACCAGUGGCGAAGGCGGCGAUCUGGGAAGAUACUGACGCUGAGGUGCGAAAGCGUGGGGAGCAAACAGG
rnacentral:rRNA from 1 species